rnacentral:misc_RNA from 1 species
UGAAUCUAUGAAGACAUCUUUGAAGAAAUUGCGAGGAUUAGCUACUCUUAGACAUGAAAGGAAAGAACGAAGGCUUCGCCAACCUUCCGAUGAGCUUGCUAUGGCUGCUCAGGAUAUGCAAGAAAUGAAAGAUUGCUACGAUAGGUUGCUUUCUGCAGCAGCUGCAACUGCAAAUGGUGCUUAUGAAUUUUCUGAAUCGUUGCGAGAAAUGGGAGAUUGUCUUCUUGAGAAAACGGCAUUGAAUGAGGACGAAGAAAGCGGUAAGGUGUUACUAAUGCUAGGUAAACUGCAGUUUCAGCUUCAGAGACUUGUAGAUAACUAUCGCUCUCAUAUUAUUCAGACUAUCUCUGUCCCCUCAGAAUCCCUUAUCAAUGAACUGCGCGUAGUUGAGGAAAUGAAGAUGCAAUGUGACGACAAGAGAGAAGUGUAUGAGAAGAUGAUGCAAAAACACAGAGAUAAAG